ACACCCAGUCCACUUCCCCCCGCGACGACAGGCUCGGCCCAGCUCCACUCGCGCCCUUCGCCCGUUUCUCGGCUCAGAUGGACGAAAACUGUCAACUGAAAUCUGAGGCUCGUCAGAAAUCAGCGAGGAGCAACGGGGCCUCCCUUCGGGUCAGCUAAUGACAGACCAGAAACCGGGAGCACAGCGAUGUGCGCUGGAAUCGGGGUGUGAUUCUUUGGGUCUGACCCGUGCUGUUUCUUGGGCUUUGGGGUCAGUGGGCUCGGUAUUCAGACCCUCCGUCACUAAUUUAAUGACGUCGUUGUUCUAAUUCCGUAGGGAGGCAGAGUUCAAGUCUAGGAGCCGCCCGCGGCGGAUGGAUCUGUAACCUUUGAAGCCGGCUCGCGGGGCUGUGGUGCGUGUCUCCGGAGAACCUCGCGCGGCCGAGUCGCCCUUCUCCGGUUUCCUGCCGCUAACCUCUCCCUCUCUAACCUGAGCGUGUCUCAGGUCACCGCGGCCCCGGAGCCUGCGCUGGCACGCUGAACCUGCGCUGGAAACGGCCCACUGGGGAGCAGGACCUGAGUUCGGCACCGCGUGUUCACCUGAGAUAACGUGGCUCCGGAGUCAGAGGUCGCAGGCAAACAGUAAUUUAGCUUGCAGGCCCCAUUCUCCGCAUUAGCGUGAUAUAUGCAGAAGCCCGUAUUACCUAGAUGUGGAGCCUCGUAAAACACUACAAAUCCAUUAUUGUACAACUCUGCGUUGUUAUUAAUUGUCAUAAAUAUCGCCACAAUUUGAAUGGGUUGUCUCGGUCCAUCAGCUUAAUCCCACCACAGCUUUGCUGAGAACGCGCUACGCCAGAAUCCCUAGCCUUUAUGCUCCAGUGUCACUUCUAAAAGGCCGUGAUGAACACUGUAAUCCUUUUGCACAGACGUUACAAUAACUCUUCUGGGUAACGUGUUCCAGCAGAAGAGAAAAAUAAGACCCAGCUGCUUUGUGUGUUAAAUCGCAGAUAAAAUGAGUACAAACGCGCUUCUAUCUGUGUGGCAGCUCCGAUGAGCAGUAGCUAUUUGAAUGGGAAUAUCCAAUUCUGCUGCAAUUACAUGUGCACUGUCAAGUUCACAUUGUGAUGGGAUUUCAAACUCAAACUAUCCUGUCUCUGCCGCUCUUCAGAUCGACAAUACACAGACACGUCAACUCUGAUAUGUGUGUUCAACAUUCCACCAACCAAAUAACUUAAUAAAAAAUGAUCCCUGUG